rnacentral:lncRNA from 10 species
GGCCCAGUUCCCGUUCCUUUCCGCGGCCGACUGCGGUCUUGAGGGUGCUGGACUGCCGCGGGGUGCGUGGCGCUCGGGGGCGCCGGCUGACGGCGGCCUGGAGGGCGUCCUCGGCGGUGUCUGGACGCGCGCUUUGCCUCUUCUCUGCGACAGAUGCGCCAGAGUUUUAAGUUAACCCCCAGGUCUCACGUAUCCUAAGUGAUCUACCUAUAACCUAGAUGCUGCUUUACUUUUUCUAAGGGACUUUGAAGCUCUUCGUAAAACACCAGGGAAGAUAAAGCUCUAGGUGCUUUGUGAUGGUUUGAUUUUUUAAAUUUAUGUUUUGCAGUGUCCGAUUUUUACCCCUGCCUUUGCUGGGGCUAUCCAUG